CCUACGGGAGGCAGCAGUGAGGAAUAUUUGUCAAUGGACGAGAGUCUGAACCAGCCAAGUAGCGUGAAGGAUGACUGCCCUAUGGGUUGUAAACUUCUUUUAUAUGGGAAUAAAAUGUUCCACGUGUGGGAUUUUGUAUGUACCAUAUGAAUAAGGAUCGGCUAACUCCGUGCCAGCAGCCGCGGUAAUACGGAGGAUCCGAGCGUUAUCCGGAUUUAUUGGGUUUAAAGGGAGCGUAGGUGGAUUGUUAAGUCAGUUGUGAAAGUUUGCGGCUCAACCGUAAAAUUGCAGUUGAAACUGGCAGUCUUGAGUACAGUAGAGGUGUGCGGAAUUCGUGGUGUAGCGGUGAAAUGCUUAGAUAUCACGCAGAACUCCGAUUGCGAAGGCAGUUCACUGGACUGCAACUGACACUGAGGCUCGAAAGUGUGGGUAUCAAACAGGAUUAGAUACCCUAGUAGUC
rnacentral:rRNA from 1 species